UACGUAGGUGGCAAGCGUUGUCCGGAUUUACUGGGCGUAAAGAGCGCGCAGGCGGUCGUUCAAGUCGCGUGUGAAAGCCCCCGGCUCAACUGGGGAGGGUCACGCGUACUGAUCGACUCGAAGGCAGGAGAGGGUAGUGGAAUUCCCGGUGUAGUGGUGAAAUGCGUAGAUAUCGGGAGGAACACCAGAAGCGAAGGCGGCCAACUGGCCCGAUACUGACGCUGAGGCGCGAAAGCGUGGGGGAGCAAACAGG
rnacentral:rRNA from 1 species